CACGUAGGGCGCAAGCGUUGUCCGGAAUUAUUGGGCGUAAAGAGCUCGUAGGCGGUCUGUUGCGUCUGCUGUGAAAACCCGGGGCUUAACCCCUGGCUUGCAGUGGAUACGGACAGACUAGAGGUAGGUAGGGGAGAGUGGAAUUCCCGGUGUAGCGGUGAAAUGCGCAGAUAUCGGGAAGAACACCCGUGGCGAAGGCGGCUCUCUGGGACGGUACUGACGCUGAGACGCGAAAGCGUGGGGAGCGAACAGG
rnacentral:rRNA from 1 species